UACUCUUGUGCACAUUAACUUGGGCACAGGGCCAUGUUGAACAGCUAACACUGAGGAUGAAGCUCUGAGAUAGAUGUUCUAGAAAUCCUGCUGUCCCAGCCCUGCCACUGGCUAUGUGAACUGAUAGUAAGCAGUUUUGGUUUCGGUUUCCACCUCUAAAUAGUUGAUUUCCAAAAACCUCUUCUCAUUUUAACAUCCUUUGGUUAUCUGUUGACAACUUUUUAAAAAGCUAGGGGAGGAAAAAAAAAAAAAAAAGCUAGGGGAGGGUCAUGGCAUUCUUGAAAAAAUUUCAGCUGAAUUAAACAAGUAAAUAAUUAGAUGGUAGAAAAAUAAGAAGGAAGUAAAACUGAACGUUUACCAAAUUCUGGGUUGAUAGUAACUUCCGAAAACUAAAAAGCAUUUAGAAAGUGCAAAGCCUGUUACGAAGAAAGUAAAACUGACCCACAAUAUUUUGGUGUAUUUCCUUCUGAGCAUUCCUUUUCCAGAUCGUACUAUACACAGAAUUUAAUAUUACGAUUUCCUUAGGUAAACAGUUUUGCUAAAUAUUUAGGUAAAAUUUGUUGUAAUUUUCAUUUAGAUGCAUAACAUCCAACCAUAUGAAUAUACUAUAUUUUACUUAACAAUUCCCUUAUGUUUUGAGAUCUGAGAAGUUGUAUUAGUGUCAUGAAAUUAUGGGUGAUUUUGUUUCUAUUUUGUUUUAAUUUUUUAAUUUGCUCUAGUGUGAUUUGACAUUAUUCUUAUCAUCAAAAGUAACUUUAAGGCUUCCUAGGUGGUACUAGCAGUAAAGAACCCACCUACCAAUGCAGGAGACAUAAGAGACACAGGCUCUAUCCCCAGGUCAGGAAGAUCCCCUGGAGGAGGGCGUGGCAACCCAUUCCAGUAUUCUUGCCUGGAGAAUCCCAUGGACAGAGGAGCCCAGCAGGCUACAGCCCAUGAGGUCUCAGGGUCCAACAUGACUGAAGCGACUUGGCCCACAGGUGCUCCUCCUAGUUCCAGGAAGGUAACUCAGAAAUCAUCACCCUUUGCCUUUUCCCACAGCACCGUUAAACAGGGACGAGCAAGAAAUGGCCAAGUUUGACUGGAGCCAGCCCAGGACAGAGAAAUGUUCCUAUUGGCCACUCAUCCCUGACAGCGCGGUCAGUGUCCCAUGAAUGUCACGUGGGCCUCUCUCCAGACCUGGGGAUGAGCUGAGCUGCUGACAAGUGAAAAUGUUAUGGAACAAAAUGGCCGACACACUGAGAUUUAUCUGUUGACACACGGACAGGGAACACCCUGGGGAGGCCGAAGAAAGAGUUCUGUCUGCUGAACUGUGCCCACAGCCGCCUUCAGCCCAACAGCACCAGCUGCCAACACGCUGUGUCUCUGAUUCCUUUUCCCUUUCUGCAGUUUUUGCAACCCCAUAAUUGCCUUGGUAGAACUUAGAUGUUCUGACUGAAAUGGUCUUCCCAAUAAUUCUAGUCUCUUUUAGUGAGAAAUACUAUACAAAAAUUUGGGCUUCCCUGGUGGCUCAGUUGGU
ensembl:lncRNA